rnacentral:lncRNA from 1 species
AGAAAAGAAAAACAAAAGAGAAAAAUGCACUUGCCGAGACUUAAGACUCUAACACAUAUAAAAUGCUCGAAAAAUUUGAGUAGAAAAAGAGUUCAAAAGAGUGAAAUUAACCCCCAGAGUAUACGUGAUGCACGAGAAAAAGAGAAAGAAAAAUCACACAACAUGACUACCGAGUUCAAAACCCUUUGUUAUCCAUUUUUUUGUUUAUCCCACCGUACCCAAGCCCCGUUACAACCCAAAAAGACCUCGAAA